CCUACGGGUGACAGCAGUGGGGAAUAUUGCACAAUGGGGAAAACCCUGAUGCAGCGACGCCGCGUGAGUGAAGAAGUACUUCGUUAUGUAAAGCUCUAUCAGCAGGGAAGAAAAUGACGGUACCUGAGUAAGAAGCCCCGGCUAACUACGUGCCAGCAGCCGCGGUAAUACGGAGGGGGCAAGCGUUAUCCGGAUUUACUGGGUGUAAAGGGAGCGUAGACGGCAGUGCAAGUCUGGAGUGAAAGGCGGGGGCCCAACCCCCGGACUGCUCUGGAAACUGUACGGCUGGAGUGCAGGAGAGGUAAGUGGAAUGCCUAGUGUAGCGGUGAAAUGCGUAGAUAUUAGGAGGAACACCAGUGGCGAAGGCGGCUUACUGGACUGUAACUGACGUUGAGGCUCGAAAGCGUGGGUAGCAAACAGGAUUAGAUACCCCGGUAGUC
rnacentral:rRNA from 1 species